GUGUGUGUGUGUGUGUGUGUGUGUGUGUGUAUCUGACACACAGAUACACACAGUGUGUAUAUGCAUGUAUGUAUCUGUGUCAAGGUGUGUGUAUCUGUGUGUCAAAUACAUACAUACACACAGAUACACUG